rnacentral:lncRNA from 1 species
CUAGGCGCUGCAAUUGAAGAUCUAUGGCACGUUUUUUGGGCCGUUCUUAAAUCCAUAAAAACCCUACUUCUACAUAAAAUGGAGGGGCACCUAUAAAUACAUCUUCCUCAUACUUUUGAAGGGUUCUUGACAUAUUGGAGAGAAGACAACAAGAAGGGAGAUUCAAAAGAGAAAUUCAAGAAGAUUAACACCAAGCAAUUGAAGAUUAGAAGCAUUCAUUGGAAGAGGAAGGAGAUCUUGGUGCAAG